ACUGCGAAGGGGGGACGGAGAAGGCUAUGUCAGCCGGGCGACGGUUGUCCCGGUUUAAGCAUGUAGGCGGAGGUUCCAGGUAAAUCCGGUACCUUUUAACGCUGAGGUGUGAUGACGAGGCACUACGGUGCUGAAGUGAUAAAUGCCCUGCUUCCAGGAAAAGCCUCUAAGCAUCAGGUAACACGAAAUCGUACCCCAAACCGACACAGGUGGUCAGGUAGAGAAUACCAAGGCGCUUGAGAGAACUCGGGUGAAGGAACUAGGCAAAAUGGUGCCGUAACUUCGGGAGAAGGCACGCUGAUGUGUAGGUGAAGCCCCUGCGGGUGGAGCUGAAAUCAGUCGAAGAUACCAGCUGGCUGCAACUGUUUAUUAAAAACACAGCACUGUGCAAACACGAAAGUGGACGUAUACGGUGUGACG
rnacentral:rRNA from 1 species